rnacentral:rRNA from 1 species
CCUACGGGUGGCAGCAGUGAGGAAUAUUGGUCAAUGGACGAGAGUCUGAACCAGCCAAGUAGCGUGAAGGAUGACUGCCCUAUGGGUUGUAAACUUCUUUUAUAUGGGAAUAAACUGUUCCACGUGUGGGAUUUUGUAUGUACCAUAUGAAUAAGGAUCGGCUAACUCCGUGCCAGCAGCCGCGGUAAUACGGAGGAUCCGAGCGUUAUCCGGAUUUAUUGGGUUUAAAGGGAGCGUAGGUGGAUUGUUAAGUCAGUGGUGAAAGUUUGCGGCUCAACCGUAAAAGUGCAGUUGAAACUGGUAGACUUGAGUACAGUAGAGGUAGGCGGAAUUCGUGGUGUAGCGGUGAAAUGCUUAGAUAUCACGAAGAACACCGAUUGCGAAGGCAGUUCACUGGACUGCAACUGACACUGAGGCUCGAAAGUGUGGGUAUCAAACAGGAUUAGAUACCCCUGUAGUC